rnacentral:snRNA from 1 species
UCAUAGAUUCAGCAGUGUAUACACUAAAAUCAGAACAACAGAGAUUAGCAUAUUCCCUGCACCAGGAUGCCGAUCAAGUCAUGAUGUGUUCUGUGUUUCU